ACGAGACCUUAACCUGCUAAAUAGCCCGUAUUGCUUUGGCAGUACGCUGGCUUCUUAGAGGGACUAUCCGCUCAAGCGGAUGGAAGUUUGAGGCAAUAACAGGUCUGUGAUGCCCUUAGAUGUUCUGGGCCGCACGCGCGUUACACUGACGGAGCCAGCG
rnacentral:rRNA from 1 species